GCGUGAAAGAUUUGUGUCCUGCUUCCCAAGCUGAAGGUCGCGGGUUCGAAUCCCGUUUCCCGCUCCA
rnacentral:tRNA from 1 species